CCUGAUUCUGCCGAGUUCGACGCGUCCCUGGGUCAACAAGGGAGGUGCUUAACGUAAAUUUGAGCAACCAAUCAGAUUACUCACGUCACGUGACAUGUGCCCAGCCUCAGCUUGCGCGCCACUAUUUGAAUUGUGUGCUUUGACGUCGCCUUCAUUUUACAAAGGUUUGAAGAUUUCUCAGUUCUUUGCUUAUAUUUCAAGGAUCACUGGCUGGUAAUAGGACACGCGUGGUCGGACAGUGCUACAACCAUGCCAACUCCGAUACAAACAAUCUUGUUGAAAGGAACCUUAGACUGGAUCUUAUCAGCAUUCUCAACAAGAAGACAGAUGGAUACUUCCAGGUCAUUCAUGAUUUACAGGCAGACAGUUUGAAGAAUGAAAAAUGCUUCUUUGAAGACUGUUUCUGUAGCUGCCCAAUAGGAGUCAGAGGACAUCGCUGUAAACACCUUGUACUUGUACUUACUGAUCAAGUGAACACGAUUCUCAGAAGUUUCCUGAUUUGAAUUAUCAAAUAAACGGACGUGCUAGUGUAAUCAAGCAAAAUAAGCUUUACUCCAUUCUGUGCUUUGACAGAAAAGAGGUACAUGUAAGUGUGCAUAUGAGAAAUUAAGUGCAAGAGACUUGUUUUUUUUUGGUUUUGUUUAUUUUACUAUGUAUUAUUUUAAAACAAUGAAAAAUUAUGUAAUCU